rnacentral:tRNA from 1 species
AAGGGUGUAGCUCAGUGGUAGAGUGCAUGCUUAGCAUGCAGGAGUUUCUAGGUUCAGUCCCCAGUACCUCUA